rnacentral:rRNA from 1 species
GACAGAGGGUGCAAACGUUGCUCGGAAUCACUGGGCGUAAAGGGCGUGUAGGCGGGAAGGAUAGUCAGAUGUGAAAGCCCCGGGCUCAACCUGGGAACUGCAUUUGAAACUGGCGGGCUUGAGUAUGGCAGAGGGGGGUGGAAUUCCGCGUGUAGCAGUGAAAUGCGUAGAGAUGCGGAGGAACACCGAUGGCGAAGGCAGCCCCCUGGGCCAAUACUGACGCUCAGGCACGAAAGCGUGGGGAGCAAACAGG